rnacentral:rRNA from 1 species
UACGUAGGUGGCAAGCGUUGUCCGGAUUUAUUGGGUUUAAAGGGUGCGUAGGCGGUUUAAUAAGUCAGUGGUAAAAGGUAGCAGCUUAACUGUUUUACACGCCAUUGAUACUGUUAGACUUGAAUACACUGGAGGCAGAUAGAAUUCCUGAUGUAGCGGUGAAAUGCAUAGAUAUCAGGAGGAAUACCGAUUGCGAAGGCAGUCUGCUGUGGUGUUAUUGACGCUGAGGCACGAAAGUGCGGGGAUCAAACAGG